rnacentral:rRNA from 1 species
ACGGGGUGCAGCAGGCGCGAAACCUUUACAAUGCACGCAAGUGUGAUAAGGGAACCCUAAGUGCUUUGCUUUUGCAAGGCUUUUGUUUAGAUUAAAACUCUAUGCGAAUAAGUGGUGGGCAAGACUGGUGCCAGCCGCCGCGGUAACACCAGCUCCACGAGUGGCAAUCACAUUUAUUUGGUCUAAAGCGUCCGUAGCCGGUUCAAUAAGUCUCUUGUGAAAUCAUUGAGCUUAACUCAAUGGUGUGCUUGAGAUACUGCUGGACUAGGAACUGGGAGGAGUCAGAAGUAUUUCUAGGGGAGCGGUAAAAUGCUAUAAUCCUAGAAAGACUACCUGUGGCGAAAGCGUCUGACCAGAACAGAUUCGACGGUGAGGGACGAAAGCUAGGGGAGCAAUCCGGAUUAGAUACACCCGAGUAGUCCUAGCCAUAAACGCUGCGAGCUAGGUGUUGCAUAUUCUUCGUGAAUAUGUGGUAUCGUAGUGAAGACGUUAAGCUCGCCACCUGGGGAGUAUGGUCGCAAGACUGAAACUUAAAGGAAUUGGCGGGGGAGCAC